UUGGGUGAAUUAUUGUCAUGACCAGCAAUUAAAGGGUUAACUUUUCAGGAAGAAAAUCGCUAGCAUCGGUUUUAACCAAUGAGCUCUUUCCAAGUGGCGCAUUGUCCCGCCCACCACCUCCGUGGUUUCCUCCUUCAUUUCCGUUGCGACUUGAUCGCUGAGGUGCUAACUGAACGCAAAAGAUUCACGGAAGAAGAGAGUGAACAACCAGGAGGUUGGAGGCGGCGCCAUUUUGUGCUGCUGUGCUGUCCUCUGGUGAGACCGAAAAAAUAUGUACCAGUCAGGUGAAAACCAGCUGUGCAAUAAGCACACAGAGGAGGAGGAGGAGGCCGUUUCAUGAUGCAUGGAAAAUAUUUGGCUGACUUUGUAUUAAUAUGGUGCUGGGAUGCAGUGGAUGCCUUAAACAGCCUCAUUGUGGGAAUUAUAUUUCUGUCUAGGGAGAAAAAUCAGAGUUUCUGAACUGGACCCAACUCUGGAGGGUUGUAAAUACAAUCCAAUUAAAAUUAAA